CAGCUAACAGGACUACCAAUAGAGGCUUAAAGCAUGAGACUGGGACCAAAGAGAAAGACGGAGAUUAAAGUCGUCUUGCAACUUACCCUCUCUGGCCCUGUGUUGAUUUAAAUGCGGCAGUGAGAGAUUUUUAAAUACUUUUGGAUAAUCCACUCUGUUGAGUUUUCUGGCCUCCACAGUGUGGACAGAUAAAGACCCAGGAGCAGCAUUAUGGAUGGCAGCUGACAUGCUGCAGACAGCUCUGAGGUUAAGUGCUGGCAAUCAUCUGUUCAAU